rnacentral:rRNA from 1 species
UACGUAGGGGGCAAGCGUUGUCCGGAUUUAUUGGGCGUAAAGAGCGUGUAGGCGGCCAUACAGGUCCGUUGUGAAAACUGGAGGCUUAACCUCCAGACGUCGAUGGAAACCGUAUGGCUAGAGUCCGGAAGAGGAGAGUGGAAUUCCUGGUGUAGCGGUGAAAUGCGCAGAUAUCAGGAAGAACACCGGUGGCGAAGGCGGCAUCCUGGACCGAUAUUGACGCUGAUGCGCGAAAGCCAGGGGAGCAAACGGG